GACGAACCGUGCGAACGUUAUUCGGAAUCACUGGGCUUAAAGGGCGCGUAGGCGGGCCGACGAGUCAGGGGUGAAAUCCUCCAGCUUAACUGGAGAACAGCCUUUGGGACCGGCGGCCUCGAGGGGUGCAGGGGCAUGCGGAACUCAGGGUGGAGCGGUGAAAUGCGUAGAGAUCCUGAGGAACACCGGUGGCGAAAGCGGCGUGCUGGACACCUACUGACGCUGAGGCGCGAAAGCCAGGGGAGCGAACGGG
rnacentral:rRNA from 1 species